rnacentral:rRNA from 1 species
CUGGCGGCAUGCCUUACACAUGCAAGUCGAACGGCAGCGGACCUUCGGGUGCCGGCGAGUGGCGAACGGGUGAGUAAUAUAUCGGAACGUACCUUCAGGUGGGGGAUAACGUAGCGAAAGUUACGCUAAUACCGCAUAUUCUGUGAGCAGGAAAGCAGGGGGAUCGCAAGACCUUGCGCUGAUUGAGCGGCCGAUAUCAGAUUAGCUAGUUGGUGAGGUAAAGGCUCACCAAGGCGACGAUCUGUAGCGGGGUCUGAGAGGAUGAUCCGCCACACUGGAACUGAGACACGGUCCAGACUCCUACGGGAGGCAGCAGUGGGGAAUUUUGGACAAUGGGCGCAAGCCUGAUCCAGCCAUGCCGCGUGAGUGAAGAAGGUCUUCGGGUUGUAAAGCUCUUUCGGCCGGGAAGAAAUCGCACAGGUUAAUACCCUGUGUGGAUGACGGUACCGGAAUAAGAAGCACCGGCUAACUACGUG